GAAAAGGUCGGAUGAGGCGCUGUUUUGGUUGUUUGUUUUUAACCUUUCUAUAGUUUCCUUUCUGCUUCGUUCGCGAUGUCAUAGUGAUGCCAUUACUUAUCUAUAGCGUCAAAGACUUUGGUAUUUGGUCAAAUAUGCUAUUGUGUUUUGCUUUCAGAAUUAUGUGUUGCUAUCAGUGGUUAUGCUUUUAUUUUGGUUGUUGGAUUUGGGAUUUGCUUAGUAUAUUUAUGAAGAAGAGGAACACGACGGGUUCGUGUUGGAAUAUCAAUGUUGUUUCUUCUUGGAAUUUGGUUGGUUUCUUGUAGAUUGUUGCUAAAAGAUUCGAGUUUGAUGUUUCUUUGUUUCUGUCGCGCCUUAGUCGGGGCAGAGAGUGAAUCCUUAGGAGGAUGAAAAUAUGUUUGUUCAUCGUUGCUGAAGAUUCGAUUAUGGUGUUCUUUGAUUUGAUCUGCCUGUUGGAAUUAGUUAUGUAAUCAAGGUUCUGCUCUACUCGUCCUUUCUGAACCCUAUUCCUGCUUUUUCUUUCCUAAUGCCUCAAUGAUGUGGUCUAAUUACUUAAUCGAAAUUAGGGUUCUUGGCAUUCGGUGCAAUGUUCUAAUGUCUAGUUUUGGAAGCUUUGUGAUGCCAGUUUUAGGGUUUCCGAAGAAUAUGUGAAGUGUUUAUCUACGUUGGUUUAAUGCAAAAGGUGCGUUGGAAUUUAACAUUGGUUGCAUGCUUGAAUCAGAGUUUUUGUCCUUUAAUGUGAGCGACAAAGACUCAGGUUUUUCCUUGCUUUUCGUUUUCUUCCCCCCUUUCCUUUGCUUGUUGGUGUUAGACGGAUAAUCAAAAUUUUGCUUGAGUUGUACUUUUGAUGUUUUGUUUUGCUUUAUUAGUUGUAUGAUUAAAGUGCUGCUCUACUUGUCCUUUCUGUAGUCCAUUUCUGCUUGUUCUUUCCUGAUGCAACCAUGUGGUCUAAUUCCUGCAUCAAAAUUAGGGUUCUUGGCAUUCGGUGCGAUGUUCAAGUGUCUAGUUUUGUAAGGUUUGUGAUGCCAAAUUUUACUUGUCAUGUGAGAAUGAAGAAUUUCCAAAGUGUCGUCUACAUUUGAUUAAUGCAAAAGGUGCAUUGGAUUUCACUCUUAGUUUGCAUGCUUGAAUCAGAGUUCUGUCCUCAAGUUGACUGGCAAAGAUUUAGGUUGUUUUUGCUUGUUGGCAUUAGUUGUUUAAUCAAAGUUCUCUGAGCUGUACUUACAAUGUUUUUUGGUGUCUCCCGAUGAUGGUGUCUUGUUCAUUAUAAUGUCAAAUUAAGACUUUGGUUUUUUUUGUGAGAUAUGCUAAUUUAUUACCAUAUGGACAUAUACAAUGCUACUUUUUGAUGCUUCUAAAGCUUGUUUCAUCUUAGCUCAGCAUCUUAGAUAAAAAGAUUCCGGUAUGUCUUAACUUGAUGGUUGGGAAGGUGACACUAAAAAUAUGAUAGGGAAGGUGACACUAAAAACAGGAAUAAUCUUUGUAUAUGAACAAAUGCUAGAAGACCAUGAUAUGCAGCGGAAUUAAAUGGAACCGCAAUCAAAUAGAACACCAAGAUAUACAUGGAAAACCCUUUUAAUAUGAAAAGUAAAAACCGCGGGGCAAACUAGAGAUAAUCCACUAUGAGAAUAAUGAAUAUACAAAUCUCAAUCUCUUGCCCUAAACCCUAGCAAUAAUCACAAGAGAAUAACUGGGAUACAAUGAUCAUGUCACUGUCCACGAUAUCCAAAACCUCCCCAAGUAAUCACAGCAAGAGUCUACUAUAGAUUUGAUCUAACCUGAGAUGAGAACACUGCUAGAUGAUUGAGAACAGUCUCUCUGCGUUGUCCUUGUCUUCUUCCCUUUCUUUCUCUUUCUUUUCUAUCUUGUUUUCCUCCUUUUCUUUGGAAUCCCGUGGCUAUAUCCUUCUCCCACGUUGCUGCCCUAUUUAUGCCUUUUUCUGUCUCCAAAACGCAGUCACCACACCCCCCCUAAUGUUAAUUAGGGUUAGGUUAAGAGGGGGUGAGCUAUGGGCUGCCCAAGCCCACUAUGGGCUGAAUUUGUGGGCUGCCAGCCUAACAAUCUCCCCCUUCAGACCAUAAGGGAGGCUGUCCCAUGACUCCUCAAUGUGAAGUCAUGCCGACCAGCUGUCGGCAUAUCUCCUGUCUUUCUUUUGGUAAAGUUUUUAUCAAUAUGUUUGCUUCGUUGUCAUCUGUGUGAAUUUUCUGAAGCUGCAACUGCUUCUCUUCAAAUACAUUUCGAAUCCAGUAGCAUAUGACAUCUAUAUGCUUUGACUUGGAAUGAAACAUUAGGUUCUUAUACAAAUGGAUGACACUCUGGCUGUCACAAUGCACCACAUAAUUUUCAUAUUUCAGCCUUAAUUCUUGUAAGAAUUCUUUCAUUCAUAACAUUUCUUUGCAUACCUCUGUAGCAGCAAUAUAUUCUACUUCUGUGGUGGAGAGAGCAAUACGCCUUUGCAACUUGGAUUGCCAUGACACAGCUCCCCCUGCAAAAGUAAGUACAUAACCUGAAGUAGACUUUCUCGUAUCUAUAUCUCUUGCUAUAUUUGCAUCUGUGUAACCUGUCAACACAUGUGGUCCACCUCCAAAGCUUAAACAAACCUUAGAGCUCCCUCUGAGGUAUCUAAAAAUCCACUUCACUACUACCCAGUGCUCUUUGCCUGGAUUUGCAAGAAAUCUGCUAGUAACACCAACUGCAUAUGCGAUAUCUGGCCUCGUACAUACCAUUGUAUACAUUAAACUUCCAACUGCUGAAGCAUAAGGAACCUUUUGCAUUUUCUCCUUUUCCUCAUCACUUGAUGGACUCUGUUCUGAGCACAACUUGAAGUGACCUGCAAGAGGAGAACCAACUGGUUUUGCAUUGCUCAUACUGAAUCUUUACAAUAUCUUCUCGAUGUAUUUCUCAUGUGACAACCAAAUCUUCUUAUUUUUUCUGUCAUGGGAAAUCUGCAUAUCUAGUAUUUGCUUUGCUGGCCCCAUGUCCUUCAUUGCAAAAGACUCACUCAGUUCCUUUUUCAAUCUGUCAAUUUUAGACAUAUCUUUUCCAAGAAUAAGCAUGUCAUCAACAUAAAGUAAGAGAAUAAUAAAAUCCUCACCAAACAAUUUGAUAUACACACAAUGAUCUGAAGUUGUUCUUUUGUAUCCAUUUUCUAUCAUAAAUGAAUCAAACUUUCUGUACCACUAUCUUGGAGCUUGCUUUAGCCCAUACAAGCUCUUCUUCAAUUUGCAGACAAAGUUCUCUUUACCUUUAACUUUGAAGCCUUCUAGUUGCUCCAUAUAAAUUUCCUCCUCCAAAUCCCCAUGAAGGAAAGCUGUCUUCACAUCUAAUUGCUCAACCUCCAAGCCCUGGCUAGCAGCAAUACCUAGAGCAACACGAAUAGAAGACAUUUUAACAAUAGGAGAAAAAAUCUCUUCAAAGUCAAUACCUUUCUUUUGACCAAAGCAUUUCACAAUCAAUCUAGCUUUGUACUUUAGUUGAGAACAAUAUUCUUGAGUCUUCAACCUGAAAACCCACUUGUUCUUCAAGGACUUCAUUUCAUUUGGUAGUAGCAUCAAAUCAUAAGUGUGGUUAUUCUAAAGAGCAUCAAUCUCUUCCUGCAUAGCAACUAACCAUUUCUCUUUCUGCUCACUUUCAACUGUUUCCUGGUAACUCUCUGGUUUACCUGCAUCAGUAAGCAUCACAUACUCAUCUGUAGAGUAUCUUUUGGAAGGUUGACAUUGUCUAGAAGAUCUUCACAACGGAGGUUCUGCGGGAAGUUGCUCUCUAACUUCUUCUUGCUCGACAUGUCCUGCAGGUAGAUCAACAUCAGACUCUACACUAUCUUCCUGCACAUCUCCCCCAUCACCCUGAUAUAUUGGAGGAGUAAUUGGGUCACAAUCUGCUAAUCCUUCUGUAGAAGUAUUGGCUGGUGCCUUCUUCUUCAAAUCUUCAAAAGUUUGAUCCUCAAAGAAGACUACAUCUCUACUUCUAAACACCUUCUGCUUUUCUGGAUCCCAAAGUCUGUAACCAAAAUGAUCAUGUGAGUAGCCAAGAAAAAUAUAUUCUUUAGACUUACCAUCUAGCUUGGACCUCUCAUUAUCUGGAAUAUGUGCAAAUGCACAAUAACCAAACACUCUCAAAUGCUUGUAGGAAACAUCUUUCUCUAACCAUACAUGCUCUACAACAUAACAUCACCAUCUAGGGUUGUACAUUGUCACGACCUUAGCUAGAAUUGCCUAAGGUGUGAGGCACGCUUGCGGCCAAAGACGCGAAUUUAGCCUGCGUUGCCUAAGUCACGAGUCACCCUUGCGACAAAGACGCGAACUUAGCUUGCGUUGCCUAAGUCACGCUCCGCCCUUGGGAUAUUGCUCCGUAAGGAUCAGCCCACUUGUAACCUCUCACAGGUCCCGAAGGACCUGUAAAAAGAUAAAGUUGAUUAGUUCGAAAGAACGAGCGACGGACAAGUCCCGACGUCUCGCGAAAAGGGGAAGCUUUACAAGCAAUUCAGCGAGCACCUUGCGUGCACAAGAGAAAAUAGGGAGAGGGGGAAAACAAGGGCUUUAGAAGCUUGAAUGAACAGCUGCAAGCCCACAAACAACCGCUCACCUGGUCCCGGGCGCGACAACAAGUUCCUGUCAAGACAAUGUGCGAACUUGCGAAAGAGUGUUCAACGCCCGGUAUAUAUCUGAAGCCCCAUCCAGCCCUGUGCCACCCGGGGGGUUCAAAGGGGCUGAGAUGGCUGAUGUUUUGGUGAGCGGAGGCAGAUUCCAGAAAUCAGCCCGCAACACGCGAAAACGAAGCUGUUUUGGGCUGUUUUGCUCGGUUCGGUGAGCGGUCGCUUGUAACACUGCAGCUUGUUCGAACUUAUAUUUUUACAAGAAAAAUGACCCAAAAGCAAGAGAAAAUAUGUUGUCAAGCAACUGUACAUGUAGGUGUGAGCGACGAACGGUUCGUUGAACGGAGUUGUUGCGAGUGCACGACGACCGUUCGGGACAUUCUCCUCCACUUAAACUGUUGACGCCCUCGUCGACGCUUGUUGGUAGUUGUUGAUGAUUUCUUCUUCAUGUCGCAGGGCAUCUUCAGGCUCCCAAUUGGCUUCAGUUCGGGGAAGCUUUCGCUACUUCACCAAGUACUCUAUCUGCUCAGCUCCGUUGGAUAGCUUUAUCUUGCCGUAUGCCAUAAUGGUUUCAACUUGCUUCUCGUAGGAGGCUGUGAUGGGAGGUAGCUGAGUUGGAACACUUCGGGCAGCAUCUUGCGGAUCCGAGUGGUAGGCUUUUAGGUUGCUGGCGUGAAGAAAGUUGUGAAUUUUGAACCACGUCGGUAGCUACAACUUUUAAGAGACGUUGCCUACCGUGCUGAUAAUUGGGAAGGGCCCUUCAUACUUGCGCACCAAUCCUUUGUGGACUUUGUUCCUAAAGAAUUGGAGUGAUGCUGGUUAGAGCUUUACCAACACCAAAUCGCCAACUUUGAACUCUUACGGUCGCCUUCCCAAGUCUGCCCACUUCUUCAUCCUUUUUGCCACCUUCUCCAAGUAAGCCCGCGUAAUAUCUGCAUUUUGAUGCCACUCCUUUGCGAAAUGGUAGGCUGACGGACUACUCGCAGUAUACCCAAUGGCCAUGGUGUGCGGAGUCGACGGUUGUUGUCCAGUUAUGAUCUCGAAGGGGCUCUUAUUGGAUGCAGAGCUCCGAUGCAAGUUGUAGGAGAAUUGGGCAAUAUCCAAUAGCUUCACCCAAUCUCGUUAGUUGGCACUCACGUAGUGACGAAGAUAUUGCUCCAAGAGCGAGUUUAUCCUUUCAGUCUGGCCAUCUGUCUGGGGGUGGAGGCUUGUAGAGAAGUAUAACUUUGACCCCAACAAUUUGAAUAGCUCGGUCCAGAAUCGUCCCAGGAACCGAGCGUCUCGAUCACUAAUGAUAUUGUGCGGGACUCCCCAAUACUUCACCACAUCCUUCAUCAUCAGCUUGGCCGCCUCCUCUGCUGAACAGUGUAGGGGAGCAGCAAUGAAGGUUGCAUACUUUGAAAACCGAUCGACCACCAUGAGUAUCGAUCUGAGUCUCCUUACAAGUGGCAAGCUUGAUAUAAAGUCUAAGGAAAUGCUCUCCCACGGCCUUUCUGGUACGGGCAACGGCUCCAAAAGUCCCACCGGCUUCUGCUACUCCACCUUGUCUUGUUGGCAAGUAAGGCAUGUUCGAACAUAUUCCUCCACAUCAGUCCCCAUCUUCGGCCAAUAGAAGGCCCUCUCCUCGAGAGCCAACGUUCUGUGAAUGCUUGGGUGUCCAGCCCAAAGGGAAUCGUGACACUCUUUUAAGAGUUCACGCCUCAAAUUGUCCACUCGGGGAACAUAAACCCUAUUCCCUUUUGUGUAAACGAGUCCAUCCUGGACCCAAAAUCGUCGUGCCUUGCCUUCUUUGAUGAGUUACAUCAGGAUAACUGCCUGGGGGUCACUAUACAGUCCAUCCCUGAUUCGGGAAAGGAAGUUGGAGUGCAACUGACUUGCUUGGCCUCUAUCCUCCAGUUGUACGACAUUCACACAUUCCACUUUCUGACUCAGCGCAUCGGCCACGACAUUCGCCUUCCCGGGCUUGUACUCCAUUGCCAUAUCAAAUUUAGCCAGGAAGUCUUGCCAUCGCGCCUGCUUUGGGGAGAGCUUCUUCUGAGUUUGGAAAUAGCUCAGGGCGAUGUUUUCCGUCCUCAGCACAAAUCGCGACCCGAGGAGGUAGUGUCGCCAAACUCGUAGAUAGUGGAUCUCUGUUGUCAUCUCCUUCUCAUGCACUAGAUACCGCCGCUCGGUCUCGUUGAGUUUGCGGCUCUCGUAGGCCACCGGAUGACCUUCCUGCAUGAGUACUCCCCCAAUAGCAAAGUCCGAAGCGUCUGUAUGGACUUCAAAGGGCUCUCCAUAGUCCGGCAAUUUGAGCACCGAUUCUUCCAGAACAACAGCCUUCAGAUCUUGGAAUGUUAUUUCACAUCUGUCAGACCACUUCUAAGGCUGCUCCUUCUUCAGCAACUCCGUCAGUGGAGUUGCCCGCUUCGAAUAUCCCGCUAUGAAGCGUCGAUAGUAUUUGACGAAACCAAGGAAGGAUCUCAACUCUGGCACCUUCUUAGGAGUUCGUCAUUCCGCAACUGCUUGCACCUUCGACUUAUCCAUCUGAAUGGAGCCAUCACCGAUUCGAUGCCCCAAGAAUAAGAUCUCAGUUUGGGCAAAGUAGCAUUUCUCCUUUUUCACGAACAAGGUGUUCUCCCUGAGAACCUUGAAAUUUGUCCGAAGGUGUUUGACAUGCUCCUCAAGCGUUUGACUGUAGACGACGAUAUCGUCCAAGUAGACAAUCACGAACUUAUCCAAAUACUCCUUGAAUAGCUGGUUCAUGAGAGUGCAGAACGUGGACGGAGCGUUGGUUAAGCCGAAGGGCAUCACCAAGAACUCAAACGCUCCAUACCUGGUCACACAAGUAGUCUUCGCUUCGUCGCCUUCAGCAAUGCGUACCUGCCAAUACCCCGACCGAAGGUCAAGCUUCGAGAAAUACUUAGCUUUUCCCAACUGGUCGAACAAGUCCGCGAUGAGCGGGAUGGGAUACUUGUUCUUCACUGUCACUUUGUUAAGGGCUCGGUAAUCGACGCAUAAUCGGAGGCUCCCAUCUUGUUUCUUCUGGAAGAGAACUGGAGCUCUGAAAGGUGCUUUAGAGCUGCGGAUGAGACCACUACUUAGCAGUUCACCUAACUGCUUUCUGAGUUCUGCCAACUCUGGCGGCCAUGCGGUAGGGUGGUCUCGCUGGAGGCUUCACUCCUGGCUCCAGCUCAAUUUUAUGAUCCAUGCCCCUGCGUGGUGGAAGAGUCUUCGGCAACUCAGGUGGCAUAAUGUCAGUGAACUCUUUCAGGACGUUCGCCACCACAGCAGGUUCAUGAUUGGCCUCCUUGUCGAGUGGCUCUAACUUCAUAGCCGCCACGAAUGUUAGUUUGUCUUUUCGUACCCCCUUCUUCAAUUGCAAUGCCGAUAUGUGUUGGGGCUCCUUGGUUCAUCUCCGAGAGACGGGAACCACGCAGGGGUCGUCACCUCCCAUCAUACAUAGGGAGUUCAAGAAUGGCAUUGGCACCAACUUCACCGCGUGCAUAAACUCCAUUCCAAGAAUCACUUGGAAGUCAUCCAAUGGCACGACCAUCAUGUUGGUGUUCCCGCUCCACGUCUCGAUUUUGAUGGGAACUCCCUUCGCUAACCCGGAGAUUCGCCUGGCCUCCGAGUUCACCGCCUUCAUUCGGCUUGGGCUCUUCUCCAAGAUCAACCCAAGUCACUGUGCUUCUCGAUCAGCUAUGAAGUUGUGGGUAGCGCCCGUGUCCACCAUUGCACGGGUCGUUUGGCCAUUUAGCUUGAUGUCCACAUACAUCAGCUCACUUCUUCUUGCUUUUUGUAACUUUGUCUUCAUAUUCUCCCCCACGUGACUCCGCAUAGCGUUCAACAAAAGCAUUGCUCCCAUUCAGGGUCCUUGCGACUCCUCGUCGUCGCUGCUGGAUUCAGAACUGCUCGAACUAAGAGCAACAGCUUUGCCCUUGUCCGAUCGGGGGGGGGGGGGGGGGGGGUGGAUGGAAGCCGUCAAAGCAUUGAGUGCCUGUUUUUGUGGGCACUCCCUCACCAUGUGUGGUCCUCCGCACAAGAAACAUCCUCCAGGUUUUGAGGCCUUGCCUUUCGGGUUCGGCCCUUUGUGGGAACUCUUCUUCUUUUGCUCGCCCCCGAGCUCCUUCCCUCGAGAAUGUUUUGGAGGGCGAUUGCCUGAAGAUUGUUUCCUUCUUCCUGGGUCUUCAGAGGAAACAAAGUCGGUGAGCCUUUUUGCAGUAGCAAUUACCCCGACGACAUCAGUAACAUUCCUUCGAUUUAGCUCCUGUUGAGCCCAUGACUUCAAACCAUCGAGGAAGCUGAACAACUUGUCCUUCUCAGACAUGUCCUGUAUGUCCAGCAUUAGUGCAGAAAAUUGUUUCAUAUAGUCUCGGAUGGUGGUACUCUAGCGGAGUUGUCUCAACUUCCUUCUUACGACGAACUCUGUGUUCUUCGGUAGGAACUGAGUUCUCAACUCCCGCUUCAAGUCCUCCCAUGUGUCGACUCGACACCAACCUUGUUGGAUCUCCUCCCAACGGGUUCGCCACCAAAGUUUCGCAUCUCUGUUUAGAUACAUUGUUGCUAUAGAAACUUUGGUAUCUUUAGAAUUGGGCCUCGUAGCUCGAAAGUAUUGUUCCAUGUCGAACAGAAAGUUCUCGAGCUCUUUGGCAUCUCUGGCCCCUCCAUAUCCAUGAGGCUCGGGUGCCCUCAAAUUUUGUGGCAGUGCAACACGGGUGUUGCUUCCUCCCGCAUUUAGUGUUCCUGUGAGCAUGACCACCUUUGAAGUGAGUUCCGCCACAACAUCCUAUAAGUGUUGCACGGAGUCUUUGGUGUCAUCAGACAGUCGGUCAACUAGGGCCUCGACCUUGUCAAUCCUAGACUUCGCUUCCUCUUGCGAGCUCUCUACCCCAACAAGCCUUUGUUGGCCAUGGUAGAGUUCCUCCAUGCUCGCUUCAAGAACAUCCAGGCGGGUUUCCGUCGUUGUGAGUCUCUCCUUGUGACUCUUUUUCCCAGUUAGCGCUCCAGAUUGCGCUUCCUCCGCUCGCGGAGAGUAACCAACUUCUCGCUCAUCAUGUUCGCUGUCGCGCUCCUCUUGAGUGGCUACAAUAGCAUGAGAGCGAGUGUGCACAUGCAGCCCACCUGCGGCUGCUUGGGGCAAGGGUCCGGCUUGCCCCAUCUUGCUUGAUUCGCCACGAUGCUUUGCCAUGGAGAAGUUACGAAGUUCGUUCGCUGCUCGCUCGAAGUGCUUGCCCGCUCUGAUAUCACAAUGUCCUGGCCUUAGCUGGAAUUGCCUAAGGCAUGAGACACCCUUGCGGCCAAAGACGCGAACUUAGCUUGCGUUGCCUAAGUCGCGAGUCACCCUUGUGGCAAAGACGCGAACUUAGCUUGCGUUGCCUAAGUCGUGCUCCGCCCUUGCGAUAUUGCUCCAUAAGGAUCAGCCCACUUGUAACCUCUCGCAGGUCCGAAGGACUUAUAAAAAGAGAAAGUUGAUUAGUUCGAAAGAACGAGCGACGGACAAGUCCCGACGUCUCGCGAAAAGGGGAAGCUUUACAAGUAAUUCAGCGAGCACCUUGCGUGCACAAGAGAAAAGAGGGAGAGGGGGAAAACAAGGGCUUUAGAAGGUUGAACGAUAGCUGCAAGCCCACAAACAGCCGCUCACCUGGUCCCGGGCGCGAUAACAAGUUCCUGUCAAGGCAACGUGCGAACUUGCGAAAGAGUGUUGAACGCCCAAUAUAUAUCCGAAGCCCCAUCCAGCCCUGUGCCACCCAGGGGGUUCAAAGGGGCUGAGAUGGCUGACGUUUUGGUGAGCGGAGGCAGAUUCCAGAAAUCAGCCCGCGGCACGCAAAAACGGAGCUGUUUUGGGAUGUUUUGGAGUUGUUUUGCUCGGUUCGGUAAGCGAUCGCUUUGUAACGCUGCAGCUUGUUCGAACUUACAUUUUUACAAGCAAAAUGACCCAAAACCAAGAGAAAACAUGUUGUCAAGCAGUUGUACAUGUAGGUGUGAGCGAUGAACGGUUCGUUGAACGGAGUUGUUGCGAGUGCUUGACGACCGUUCGUGACAACAUGGUGAUAAGUUGAUCACAUCAACUGUAGUCCUCAAAGCCUCAUCCUAAAACCUUUUGGGUAGCUUGGCCUGUGAAAGCAUAUAUCUGAUCUUUUCCAUGAUGGUGCGGUUCAUCCUCUCUGCAAUUGCAUUAUGCUGAGGUGUACCAAGAACUGUCAUCUCAUGUUAGAUCUCAUGUGACCUGCAAUAGUCAUUAAACGAUCCUGUAUACUCACCACCAUUAUCUGAUCUUAUGCAUUUCAAUUUCCUUUUUGUCUCCCUUUUAAUCCUAGCAUGAAACUCUUUGAAGACAUUAAUUACCUGAUCUUUAGUCUUCAAAGCAUAGGCCAAACUUUUCUGGAAAAAUCAUCUAUAAAAGUGACAAAAUAAAGUGCACCACUUAUACCAAGAACAUCAACAGAUCCAUCAUGAGUUUUUGUCCUCAAAGGACCACAUACAUUUGUAUAAAUACAGUCUAAGACAUGCAUUUUUCUAGAUAAAACAGGACUAGCAAAUAAAACUCUAUGUUGUUUACCUGCCAAACAAUCAAUACAAGGGUUCAGAUGUAUACCUUUGAGGUCUGGUAAUAUCUCUCUUGGAAAGAGCUUGCAGCCCCUUCUCGCUCAUGUGUCCCAAUCGUCUAUGCCACAACUCCAUGCUGAAGUCUUUUUCUGUAGCAUUUAACUGCUCACCAUAAGCUUUAACCUGCAACCUGUACAAAGUAUGACAUUUCUUUCCAUUAGCUAUAACAAGAGAACCCUUACUGAGCUUCCGUUGCCCUUUGUGAAAUCUGCUUUCAUAGUCUUCAUCAUCUAGUCUUCCAACUGAAAUUAGAUUCAGCCUCAAGUCAACCGCAUGCCUCACAUCCUUAAGCCACAACUUGCAGCCAAGGUUGGUCUUUAAAUGGAUAUCACCCAUGCCUAUGAUGUCUACUGUGUCAUAGUUGCCCAUCUUGACAACACCAAAAUUUUCAGACCUAUAUGUAGCAAAAAACUCCCUCCGUGGUGUAGCAUGAUAAGAAGCACCUGUGUCAAUCACCCACUCAAGAUCCUGACACACACAAGAAAAAAUAUCAUCAGAAGGAGAUAAAAUCAAAUAAUCACCACCCUGCAUUAUAGUUGUGAUAUUAUCUUUUGACUCUAUAGACUCCACUUCUUUUCCCUUUUUUUUGCUCUUCUUAUGUUGCUUACAUUGGUUCUUGUAAUGUCCUUUCUCACCACAAUUGUAGCAAACAAUAUCUUUUCUUGAUCUUGACUUGCUUCUACCCAUGCAUGAAUUGCUUCUAGACUUUGACCUUCCUCUAUUCUCUGAGAUAAAUGCUUGUGAAUCAUUCUGAGAUGUUGCUGAACUCUUUCUUCUCAACUCCUCAUUCAACAAACUGCUUAUUACUUGACUCAUAGUGACAACACCAUCUGGCGUAGAAUUACUAAGGGAAACCACCAGUGUCUCCCAACUUUCUAGUAAUGAACUGAGAAGUAACAAUGCUUGCAACUCAUCAUCAAGAGACAUUUUCAUAGAAGAUAACUGGUUAGUAAUACUUUGUAUUUCAUUCAAAUGUUCAGCAAUAGAAGCACCCUCUCUAUAUUUUAUGUUCACAAGUUUUCUAAUCAAAAAAGCUUUGUUGCUAGUUGUUUUUCUUUCGUAGAGACUUUCCAACUUUUUCCAAAGAGAAUAUGCAGAAAUUUCAGUAGAAACAUGGUGAAAGACACUAUCAUCAAGCCACUAUCGAAUAAAUCCAAUUGUUUUUCGAUCUAACAUCUUCCACUCAUCAUCUGUCAUAGUUAUGAGUUUUGCACUAUCCCCCUGCAAAGGUCCAUAUAAAUCUUUGCAAUUCAAGAGAUCUUCCAUUCUUGGUUUCCAUAUCAUCCAAUUGUUUCCAUUUAAACUAAUCAUGCGAGAAACAUUACUGGCCUCCAUGUUCAAAUACAAAAUUUAAAUCACCAAAACCUCUUUUGCUCUGAUACCAGUUGAUAGGGAUAUAAACAGGAAUAACCUUUGUAUAUGAACAAAUACUAGAAGACCAUGAUAUGCAGCGGAAUUAAAUGAAAUCACAAUCAAAUAGAACACCAAGAUAUACGUGAAAAACCCCUUCAAUGUGAAGAAUAAAAAUCACGGGGCAAACUAGAGAUAAUCCACUAUGAGAAUAAUGAAUAUACAAAUCUCAAUCUCUUGCUAUAAGCCCUAGCAACAAUCACAAGAGAACAACUGAGAUACAAAGAUCACGUCACUGUCCACGAUAUCUAAAACCUCCCUAAGUAAUCACAGCAAGAGUUUACUGUAGAUUUGAUCUAACCUGAGAUGAGAACACUACUAGAUGAUUGAGAACAGCCUCUCUGCGUUAUCCUUGUCUUCUUACCUUUCUUUCUCUUUCUUUUCUGCCUUGUUUUCCUCCUUUUCUUUGAAAUCCCGUGACUAUAUCCUUCUCCCACGUUGCUGCCCUAUUUAUGCCUUUUUCUACCUCCAAAACAUAGCCACCACACCCCCCUAAUGUUAAUUAGGGUUAAGUUAAGAGGGGGUAAGCUGUGGGCUGUCGAAGCCCACCAUGAGCUGAAUUUGUGGGCUGCCAACCCAACAAAAUAUACUUUUAUAGUUGUGGGGCUGAUCAUAAUUCCAUCUUCUUUGCAUGUCUCUACCAAUAUUUUUCUACAGGUAAGGUGAAUGUCAUUCCAUGAUGGGUGCUGGCUCUGCUGUUGACGGUGGCUUCUAAAUGAACUUUGGUGAAAUUGUCCUGAAGACCAAAGCAUUAGCAGAUCUUGAUAUUUGUGUUUUUAUAUGAGGUACGUUACAGAUUCAUGAAAUCUAUACUUUUGUUAUGUUUACAGAAGUUUGUAUAAAGUUUGGUGUAUGAUUAUCCUCGACGAAUGUCCUUUCAGGUUCUCACAUCUGUGUAGCUUAUGUUCGUUGAG
rnacentral:lncRNA from 1 species